UGCCAGCCGCCGCGGUAAUACGGAGGGUGCAAGCGUUGUUCGGAAUUACUGGGCGUAAAGCGCACGUAGGCGGAUCAGAAAGUUAGGGGUGAAAUCCCAGGGCUCAACCCUGGAACUGCCUCUAAAACUCCUGGUCUAGAGUUCGAGAGAGGUGAGUGGAAUUCCGAGUGUAGAGGUGAAAUUCGUAGAUAUUCGGAGGAACACCAGUGGCGAAGGCGACUUCCUGGGCCAAUACUGACGCUGAGGUGCGAAAGCGUGGGGAGCAAACAGGAUUAGAUA
rnacentral:rRNA from 1 species